AUUUCCAUUGUUUGAACAGUAUUCAUUAUUAUGACUAUUAUUAUACUGUCUAGUAUAUAAUAUUUUUUUUCUAUAUUAUAUUGCGCAGCACAAGAAGAUUGACAUUUUUAGACAUUCCAGAAACAUUACGAGUACGUGUUCUUUUGUGACAGCGGUGGUGGAUGGCACAAAUACUACCGGUAGGUACAGCAAUGGUAUCGGUAAACGUUACCACAAAUCCUCCAAGUACCAAUAAGGUUGUCGUGAAAGUGAAUAUUAAAAGCGCUCCAGGUACCAUUAAGUAUAAUGACAAAAGUGAACAAUAACCAAACGAUUACGGUUAUUACCAGUGCUGCAGUAACGACUGUAGAGGUUGAUACAGAUCAAUUAAGUAUCAGUAUUGUCGUGAAGUCAGUGGACGAUACAGCGAACUUACCUAAUGCCGCGGAAGAAGUAGUGAAGGUAGAUGAAAUUACAAGUAUUCCAAGUGUCGGUAUAGUGACGGCAGUGGAUGACACCGACAUCCAGUGGCAUAUUUUCAAUAAUUUCUUGGGGGAGGUUUUAAAUUUUAAAAACCCUAUCUGGGUAACACAAAUUGAAAUUAAAAUACUUAAAAUA